rnacentral:rRNA from 1 species
AUUGAACGCUGGCGGCAGGCCUAACACAUGCAAGUCGAGCGCGAAAGUUCUUCGGAAUGAGUAAAGCGGCGGACGGGUGAGUAAUACAUGGGAAUCUGCCUGGUAGUGGGGGACAACGGUUCGAAAGGAACGCUAAUACCGCAUACGCCCUACGGGGGAAAGGGGGGGAUCUUCGGACCUCUCGCUAUCAGAUGAGCCCA